UACAGAGGGGGGCAAGCGUUGUUCGGAAUUACUGGGCGUAAAGGGCGCGUAGGCGGCCUGUUAAGUCGAACGUGAAAUCCCCGGGCUCAACCCGGGAACUGCGUCCGAUACUGGCAGGCUUGAAUCCGGGAGAGGGAUGCGGAAUUCCAGGUGUAGCGGUGAAAUGCGUAGAUAUCUGGAGGAACACCGGUGGCGAAGGCGGCAUCCUGGACCCGGUAUUGACGCUGAGGCGCGAAAGCCAGGGGAGCAAACGGGAUUAGAAACCC
rnacentral:rRNA from 1 species